GAAGAGGAAGAGGGACCAGGCCUUGCGCUGUCUCCGCCUUGUGAGGACACGGCCAGGAGGCAGCCCCCUGGAAGCCAGGGAGAGAGCUCUGACAGGGGCCCAACCUGCUGGCCCCGCCGUGAUCUUGGACUUCCAGCCUCCAGAACAGUGAGAAAUACAUGUCUGUCACUCAAGUGACCCAGCCCGUGGCAUUCUGAGACAGCAGCUCAGGGUCUCAAGACGCCCUGCUGUCCCUGCAGUCUCCCCGCCACCCUAAGUGACAGCCCCGGGGAUCCAGCUGCGGGGCCACCGCGACUUCUGCCCCUCACGCCCCCGGUGCAGUCGUUAGCCCACCUUGUUGGCUUCUCUGUUUAAAUGUAUCAAGGUUCCUACCAGUGCUCCCUCCUCCUCUGGGGGGGGCGCCAUCUUAGUCCGAGGCCCCAGCCUCUCCCACCCGGGGCCUCCAGCGAAACCUCCCAGCUGUCCUCCUGCUCCCGGUCCCCACUCCCCACGCAGGCGAUCCCUCCGCACCGUGGCAGGGCUGCCUUUCCAAAUUGCAGUAAUCCCCACACUCCACAGAGCUCGAACUCAACCCCGAGACCAAGAGCUGCACGACCCUCCGACGGAGCCAAGCAGGCCCCCCACGUUCAAACUGUUGGUGAAAUCUGGCAUUGUGGCUUUUGGAUGUGUGUUCCCAAAUCGACCAAGACGUUGAGGCUCUCCCGCUAACUUUGCUGACCUUCUCUCCUCUCAUUCGCCUAUUUACCACUUUGCUCUCGUGCUUCCCCGCAACGUGGAGGGCCUGCCCCUGUGAGCCUACACUUCCUUCAGGGCCGGUCUCCAUCUCCCCUCUCUACACAAGCCCAGCCUGCAAAGGAUUAAAAUCUAAAACAUCAGAAACAGAAUGUGACAAAAUGGCCACGUUGGAGAGUCAGAGCGAAAGCUGGCCUGAGUGGGAUCUCAGGAGUGAAAUGUGCCAAACAGCCUUGAAGCUGGGGAUUAAAGUCUUUCUUCCAUCUGGAACCUGGCGUCUACAAAACAGUGACCACAUUGUGAGCCUGCCCAGAAAGAGCGCCGGGUUGCCAGGCUACCCUGCGAUGUAUAUAUGGCUUGGCAGCUGGCCUGGCUUUGUAGCUCAGAGG